UACGAAGGGUGCAAGCGUUACUCGGAAUUACUGGGCGUAAAGCGUGCGUAGGUGGUUUGUUAAGUCUGAUGUGAAAGCCCUGGGCUCAACCUGGGAACUGCAUUGGAAACUGGCUUACUAGAGUGCGGUAGAGGGGUGUGGAAUUCCCGGUGUAGCAGUGAAAUGCGUAGAUAUCGGGAGGAACAUCUGUGGCGAAGGCGACACCCUGGACCAGCACUGACACUGAGGUGCGAAAGCGUGGGGAGCAAACAGG
rnacentral:rRNA from 1 species